rnacentral:rRNA from 1 species
GAGAAGCAAAAUAGUGAUAUCAAGCAAAUCUCAAAAAAUCGUUCUCAGUUCGGAUUGUAGUCUGCAACUCGACUACAUGAAGUCGGAAUCGCUAGUAAUCGUAGAUCAUCUACUCUACGGUGAAUACGUUCUCGGGUCUUGUACACACCGCCCGUCACACCAUGGGAGCUGGUAAUGCCCGAAGUCGGUUUGUUAACUUCGGAGACAAC